UCUGCCAACAGCCUCCCUCACUCUUGGAAAUGGACUCUGACAAACUUACCGCCGAGGCAGUUGACACUUCCCAUCGAGCAUGGAAGAAUGGGGUUCCGAACUUCGUUACACUAUUUUUGAAAGGUGAUCCUGUUUUGAGGAUGCUGAGGAUGGCCUACUACAUCAAUAAAGAGCACAAUCCUUGGAGGCGUGCAGACCUGGAUCCACAUCCAGACUUCACCUCUUAUUAUGUGACCUGGCAAUCGCAAAAGAGAGGUGUGAAAAGUCUUUGGGCUGUUCCUUGGAAAAGAGACAAUGAUCGGGAUAAGGU